CCCCACAGCCCACCCUAAUCUCCCCUAUCUCCCCUCCCUCUCUUCGUUAUCUCUUUCUCUCCCGAUCUGAGCGACGGCGGCGGCUCCCAUCCUCUUCCUCCACUCCUCUCCCUCAGAUUGAGCUCCGCCCCGAAGUGGAGGAAAGGUACACGGCCAUCGAUCUGUGCGCGUCUAGCCAUCGAGGGCUCCCCCUCUCGCGCUCCUUCUCUGCAAGGAGCGCUAGCAACCCACACGGCAUAGAUCCACUACCCCUGCGUCCGCCCCACGCUGGCCGCCGGUGGCUGCCGCAUAGAUCCGUUCCUCCCCCACCUGCUGCACGCGAUGGUGCAUGCUGCCAUGCCGUUUUGGUGCAGCCAGACCGCUGCCCCUACCCUCGCACUCUGGGCAGAGGCUCGUUCUUCUUCAUGGUGACUACACGUUCCUCCCGGGUGGUGGCGCUCUGCCCGCUGUCUUGCGUUUCUCCCAGCGGUUGCGCCCUUCGACCCCUACCUCGAAUCAAUCAAUCCGGCAAUAGAGAGUUGAAACUGCAAAGAAGCGUGAUGAGGAAAAAGCGGGUUUCGACAUUGGACAUUUGAACAAAAUCAUAUACUGGAGAUUGCUUGUAUUAUAAUAGAAGGAAACAAACCAAAGGAGUGCACUCACACGGAACCAUGAAGCCAACAAUCUAUGUCAACUAGAUGUUUUAGAUUUCAUUUUGUACAGCUGAUGUCUCAUACUUGCAUCUUUUACCUGUCCUUUUGUGAACUUGAUGUAUGUUGUCUUGGUGGUAAUGUUUAGAACAGAAUGAAGUGUUUGUAUGUGACAAAUAAUUAAUGGAAUAAAAAAAUGUUUGGGGCACCUGAUGUGAGCCUGAUGUAU